rnacentral:piRNA from 1 species
UGGUGUUUACUCUCAGUGCCUGCGAACAUG